rnacentral:rRNA from 1 species
GACGAACGCUGGCGGCGUGCUUAACACAUGCAAGUCGAACGGAAAGGCCCUGCUUUUGUGGGGUGCUCGAGUGGCGAACGGGUGAGUAACACGUGAGUAACCUGCCCUUGACUUUGGGAUAACUUCAGGAAACUGGGGCUAAUACCGGAUAGGAGCUCCUGCUGCAUGGUGGGGGUUGGAAAGUUUCGGCGGUUGGGGAUGGACUCGCGGCUUAUCAGCUUGUUGGUGGGGUAGUGGCUUACCAAGGCUUUGACGGGUAGCCGGCCUGAGAGGGUGACCGGCCACAUUGGGACCGAGAUACGGCCCAGACUCCUACGGGAGGCAGCAGUGGGGAAUAUUGCACAAUGGGCGGAAGCCUGAUGCAGCAACGCCGCGUGCGGGAUGACGGCCUUCGGGUUGUAAACCGCUUUCGCCUGUGACGAGGCGUGAGUGACGGUAAUGGGUAAAGAAGCACCGGCUAACUACGUG